rnacentral:ncRNA from 1 species
ACUCUAGUCCGACUUUGUGAAAUCACUUGAGAGGUGUAGAAUAAGUGGGAGCUCCGGCGCAAGUGAAACACCACUACUUUUAACGUUAUUGUUGUAAUUAGAAGGUUUAGAGACUGAAUAAUUCUGCUGUAUUAUUAAUGAACAAUGGGGUUCCUUAUAUUAGGAUUACAAGAUAAAGAUAAAAGGAAAGU